GAGACGCUGGCGGCGUGCCUAAUACAUGCAAGUCGAACGAGUUCUCGUUGAUGAUCGGUGCUUGCACCGAGAUUCAACAUGGAACGAGUGGCGGACGGGUGAGUAACACGUGGGUAACCUGCCCUUAAGUGGGGGAUAACAUUUGGAAACAGAUGCUAAUACCGCAUAGAUCCAAGAACCGCAUGGUUCUUGGCUGAAAGAUGGCGUAAGCUAUCGCUUUUGGAUGGACCCGCGGCGUAUUACCUAGUUGGUGAGGUAAUGGCUCACCAAGGCGAUGAUACGUAGCCGAACUGAGAGGUUGAUCGGCCACAUUGGGACUGAGACACGGCCCAAACUCCUACGGGAGGCAGCAGUAGGGAAUCUUCCACAAUGGACGCAAGUCUGAUGGAGCAACGCCGCGUGAGUGAAGAAGGCUUUCGGGUCGUAAAACUCUGUUGUUGGAGAAGAAUGGUCGGCAGAGUAACUGUUGUCGGCGUGACGGUAUCCAACCAGAAAGCCACGGCUAACUACGUGCCAGCAGCCGCGGUAAUACGUAGGUGGCAAGCGUUAUCCUGGAUUUAUUGGGCGUAAAGCGAGCGCAGGCGGUUUUUUAAGUCUGAUGUGAAAGCCCUCGGCUUAACCGAGGAAGCGCAUCGGAAACUGGGAAACUUGAGUGCAGAAGAGGACAGUGGAACUCCAUGUGUAGCGGUGAAAUGCGUAGAUAUAUGGAAGAACACCAGUGGCGAAAGGCGGCUGUCUGGUCUGUAACUGACGCUGAGGCUCGAAAGCAUGGGUAGCGAACAGGAUUAGAUACCCUGGUAGUCCAUGCCGUAAACGAUGAAUGCUAGGUGUUGGAGGGUUUCCGCCCUUCAGUGCCGCAGCUAACGCAUUAAGCAUUCCGCCUGGGGAGUACGACCGCAAGGUUGAAACUCAAAGGAAUUGACGGGGGCCCGCACAAGCGGUGGAGCAUGUGGUUUAAUUCGAAGCAACGCGAAGAACCUUACCAGGUCUUGACAUCUUUUGAUCACCUGAGAGAUCAGGUUUCCCCUUCGGGGGCAAAAUGACAGGUGGUGCAUGGUUGUCGUCAGCUCGUGUCGUGAGAUGUUGGGUUAAGUCCCGCAACGAGCGCAACCCUUAUGACUAGUUGCCAGCAUUUAGUUGGGCACUCUAGUAAGACUGCCGGUGACAAACCGGAGGAAGGUGGGGAUGACGUCAAAUCAUCAUGCCCCUUAUGACCUGGGCUACACACGUGCUACAAUGGAUGGUACAACGAGUUGCGAGACCGCGAGGUCAAGCUAAUCUCUUAAAGCCAUUCUCAGUUCGGACUGUAGGCUGCAACUCGCCUACACGAAGUCGGAAUCGCUAGUAAUCGCGGAUCAGCACGCCGCGGUGAAUACGUUCCCGGGCCUUGUACACACCGCCCGUCACACCAUGAGAGUUUGUAACACCCGAAGCCGGUGGCGUAACCCUUUUAGGGAGCGAGCCGUCUAAGGUGGGACAAAUGAUUAGGGGAAGUCGAG
rnacentral:rRNA from 2 species